rnacentral:lncRNA from 1 species
GGAUAAUGGAUGUAUUUCUCACAUGAAAUUAAGAAGGAUUCACCUUCUUUUGCAUAAAUCCACUAUUUGUGAAAUGAUCAUUUUGAUAUCUAUGGAAAUGAACAAAUGAAAGUUUUGGGGAUAAUUUAGUACCCAAGUCGAAGAUAUGUGUUAGUAGAUAGAUGCUAGUAGAAGAGUAUAUGACAAAGCUUAUUGAAUACCUAAGUGGGACACC